rnacentral:rRNA from 1 species
GCUCAGAUUGAACGCCGGCGGCAGGCCUAACACAUGCAGGUCGAGCGGUAGCACAGAGAGCUUGCUCUCGGGUGACGAGCGGCGGACGGGUGAGUAAUGUCUGGGAAACUGCCUGAUGGAGGGGGAUAACUACUGGAAACGGUAGCUAAUACCGCAUAACGUCGCAAGACCAAAGUGGGGGACCUUCGGGCCUCAUGCCAUCAGAUGUGCCCAGAUGGGAUUAGCUAGUAGGUGGGGUAACGGCUCACCUAGGCGACGAUCCCUAGCUGGUCUGAGAGGAUGACCAGCCACACUGGAACUGAGACACGGUCCAGACUCCUACGGGAGGCAGCAGUGGGGAAUAUUGCACAAUGGGCGCAAGCCUGAUGCAGCCAUGCCGCGUGUGUGAAGAAGGCCUUCGGGUUGUAAAGCACUUUCAGCGGGGAGGAAGGCGUCAAGGUUAAUAACCUUGGCGAUUGACGUUACCCGCAGAAGAAGCACCGGCUAACUCCGUGCCAGCAGCCGCGGUAAUACGGAGGGUGCAAGCGUUAAAUCGACCGCCUGGGGAGUACGGCCGCAGGGUUAAAACUCAAAUGAAUUGACGGGGGCCCGCACAAGCGGUGGAGCAUGUGGUUUAAUUCGAUGCAACGCGAAGAACCUUACCUGGUCUUGACAUCCACAGAACUUUCCAGAGAUGGAUUGGUGCCUUCGGGAACUGUGAGACAGGUGCCGCAUGGCUGUCGUCAGCUCGUGUUGUGAAAUGUUGGGUUAAGUCCCGCAACGAGCGCAACCCUUAUCCUUUGUUGCCAGCGGUCCGGCCGGGAACUCAAAGGAGACUGCCAGUGAUAAACUGGAGGAAGGUGGGGAUGACGUCAAGUCAUCAUGGCCCUUACGACCAGGGCUACACACGUGCUACAAUGGCAUAUACAAAGAGAAGCGACCACGCGAGAGCAAGCGGACCUCAUAAAGUAUGUCGUAGUCCGGAUUGGAGUCUGCGACUCGACUCCAUGAAGUCGGAAUCGCUAGUAAUCGUAGAUCAGAAUGCUACGGUGAAUACGUUCCCGGGCCUUGUACACACCGCCCGUCACACCAUGGGAGUGGGUUGCAAAAGAAGUAGGUAGCUUAACCUUCGGGAGGGCGCUUA